UAGGACGGCUUGGUGAUCGCGUCAGCUCAGUCAAAAAAGUGGGAUGACGAGGAAAGUCCGGGCUCCGCAGAGCAGGACGGUGGGUAACACCCACUCGGGGUAACCCGCAGGACAGUGCCACAGAAAACAGACCGCCUACGCGGGCCCUGUGGGUUCGUGUAGGUCAGGGUGAAAAGGUGGGGUAAGAGCCCACCAGCACACCGGGUGACCGGUGUGGCUCGGUAAACCCCGUCCGGAGCAAGGCCAGACAGGACGCGCAUGAGGGCUGCUCGCCCGAGUGUCCGGGUAGGCUGCUUGAGCCCACCGGUAACGAUGGGCCUAGAUGGAUGGUCACCGUAGGCGUCGCGGGCAACCGGGCGCGUGCACAGAACCCGGCUUACGGCCGUCCUGUCCC
rnacentral:RNase_P_RNA from 1 species